rnacentral:rRNA from 1 species
AUUUGACCUCAAAUCAGGUAAGAAUACCCGCUGAACUUAAGCAUAUCAAUAAGCGGAGGAAAAGAAAAUAACAAUGAUUCCCCUAGUAACUGCGAGUGAAGAGGGACAAGCUCAAAUUUUAAAUCCGUCGGGUUACACCUGACCGAGUUGUAAUUUGAAGAGGCGUUUUCCGCGUUUUUGAUCAGUCCAAGUCCUUUGGGAUAGGGCAUCAUGGAGGGUGAGAAUCCCGUUCGGCUGAUCAGAUUCGCUUUACGAUACGUCAUCUAAGAGUCAAGUUGUUUGGGAAUGCAGCUUAAAAUGGGAGGUAAAUUUCUCCUAAGGCUAAAUAACGGCGAGAGACCGAUAGCGAACAAGUACCGUGAGGGAAAGAUGAAAAGAACUUUGAAAAGAGAGUUAAACAGUACGUGAAAUUGUUGAAAGGGAAACGAUUGAAGCCAGUCGUACCGGUGGGUAAUCAGCCUUUCGGCGUGAUUAUGUGGAGCGUGAGGAGUCAAACGCCCUCAUGGCCUGCAUAUUCGUGUUCUUUGGGUGUACUUACCCGCAUGGUAGGUUAACAUCAAUUUCGAACGUCAUAAAAUGGUUGGAGGAAUGUAGCUUCGAUCUCGUAUUGAAGUGUUAUAGACUCCGGCAGAUGUGAUGAUCGGGAUUGAGGAUUGCAACGGAUACCCUUCGGGGCUACCCGUCUGAUCUCUGAAAGUUGCUCUGGUGCCGAAAGCUCGCUUACGGUCAUCAAAGUUGACGUUCAACAGGUUAGAACGGGAUAAAUUCGUUAAGGAUGUUGACGUAAUGGCUUUAAACGACCCGUCUUGAAACACGGACCA